AGCAGUCGCCACGGUAAUACGAAGGGUGCAAGCGUUACUCGGAAUUACUGGGCGUAAAGCGUGCGUAGGUGGUGGUUUAAGUCCGUUGUGAAAGCCCUGGGCUCAACCUGGGAAUUGCAGUGGAUACUGGGUCACUAGAGUGUGGUAAAGGAUAGUGGAAUUUCUGGUGUAGCAGUGAAAUGCGUAGAGAUCGGAAGGAACAUCUGUGGCGAAGGCGACUAUCUGGGCCAACACUGACACUGAGGCACGAAAGCGUGGGGAGCAAACAGGAUUAGAUACCCCCUGUAGUCCCUGUCUCUUAUA
rnacentral:rRNA from 1 species